GAUGAACGCUGGCGGCGUGCCUAAUACAUGCAAGUCGAGCGAACAGACGAGGAGCUUGCUCCUCUGACGUUAGCGGCGGACGGGUGAGUAACACGUGGAUAACCUACCUAUAAGACUGGGAUAACUUCGGGAAACCGGAGCUAAUACCGGAUAAUAUAUUGAACCGCAUGGUUCAAUAGUGAAAGACGGUUUUGCUGUCACUUAUAGAUGGAUCCGCGGCGCAUUAGCUAGUUGGUAAGGUAACGGCUUACCAAGGCAACGAUGCGUAGCCGACCUGAGAGGGUGAUCGGCCACACUGGAACUGAGACACGGUCCAGACUCCUACGGGAGGCAGCAGUAGGGAAUAUUCCGCAAUGGGCGAAAGCCUGACGGAGCAACGCCGCGUGAGUGAUGAAGGUCUUCGGAUCGUAAAACUCUGUUAUUAGGGAAGAACAAAUGUGUAAGUAACUAUGCACGUCUUGACGGUACCUAAUCAGAAAGCCACGGCUAACUACGUG
rnacentral:rRNA from 1 species